GAUUGAGUUUGAUCAUGGCUCAGAACGAACGCUGCGGCAGGCUUAACACAUGCAAGUCGAGCGCCCCGCAAGGGGAGCGGCAGACGGGUGAGUAACGCGUGGGAACGUACCUUUUGCUACGGAAUAACUCAGGGAAACUUGUGCUAAUACCGUAUGUGCCCGAAAGGGGAAAGAUUUAUCGGCAAAGGAUCGGCCCGCGUUGGAUUAGCUAGUUGGUGAGGUAAAGGCUCACCAAGGCGACGAUCCAUAGCUGGUCUGAGAGGAUGAUCAGCCACACUGGGACUGAGACACGGCCCAGACUCCUACGGGAGGCAGCAGUGGGGAAUAUUGGACAAUGGGCGCAAGCCUGAUCCAGCCAUGCCGCGUGAGUGAUGAAGGCCCUAGGGUUGUAAAGCUCUUUCACCGGUGAAGAUAAUAACGGUAACCGGAGAAGAAGCCCCGGCUAACUUCGUG
rnacentral:rRNA from 2 species